rnacentral:lncRNA from 1 species
ACACAAUUUUACACUUUGUCCUUCAACUUUUUUUGGAUCUAUUUUACUCUUUUUAGUGUUUAAGACAUGAGUUGAAGAGAAACAAAGUGGCAGCAACUAUAGUGAAUCGAAAAUGGCCCCACACGGCUUCACUAUGUUACCACACAAACAACAAGAUUACAAAGUGAAAGAUAGUAACUUGACAUACAAUAUUCAAGAAUCUAAGAACCCUAACAACAUGAAAGGACCCUAUGACUAAAGAAUAUUAACACCAAGUUCUUACUUGGACCAAGAGAAACUCAAUGACCUCAAGAUCCUAGUUUCUAGCC